GGGGGUGAAAUGGUUUCGACUGGUCAGGUGCAGCGUCGGUCGCAUGCGGAGGAUGAUCGUUGGCCUCCUAAAUCAUCGGUCAAAAACAUAACUGCGAACGAAGAGUACGCACUGGCCGCUUAAUUGACGGUCACGUCUCCGCCGCCGAUGUCUGAUAAGCGGCAGUGAGGCGCCAACCCAUCAGGCUGGCUGUGACGCCGUGCACGCGGGCGGAUCGGCGAGAACCAACAGUUCGUGUAUGUCUUUUCAGUAGGUUUGUGUCCCACCGGCUGAUUGGACGAGAUUCAAGGGAACACUAAGCAUGUAGACACCGCCGUAUCAUCUUUUCAGGACCCGGGUUCGACUCCCGGCACCUCCACCA
rnacentral:tmRNA from 1 species